rnacentral:rRNA from 1 species
AGUGAACGCUGGCGGUAGGCCUAACACAUGCAAGUCGAACGGCAGCACAGUAAGAGCUUGCUCUUACGGGUGGCGAGUGGCGGACGGGUGAGGAAUACAUCGGAAUCUACUUUUUCGUGGGGGAUAACGUAGGGAAACUUACGCUAAUACCGCAUACGACCUACGGGUGAAAGCAGGGGAUCUUCGGACCUUGCGCGAUUGAAUGAGCCGAUGUCGGAUUAGCUAGUUGGCGGGGUAAAGGCCCACCAAGGCGACGAUCCGUAGCUGGUCUGAGAGGAUGAUCAGCCACACUGUAACUGGGACACGGUCCAGACUCCUACGGGAGGCAGCAGUGGGGAAUAUUGGACAAUGGGCGCAAGCCUGAUCCAGCCAUACCGCGUGGGUGAAGAAGGCCUUCGGGUUGUAAAGCCCUUUUGUUGGGAAAGAAAAGCAGCAGGUUAAUACCCCGCUGUUCUGACGGUACCCAAAGAAUAAGCACCGGCUAACUUCGUG